rnacentral:rRNA from 1 species
UACGGAGGUGGCUAGCGUUGUUCGGAAUUACUGGGCGUAAAGGGCGUGUAGGCGGCUUGCCAAGUCAGGCGUGAAAGCCCCGGGCUUAACCUGGGAACUGCGUUUGAGACUGGCAGGCUAGAGGUUGGAAGAGGAGAGUGGAAUUCCCAGUGUAGAGGUGAAAUUCGUAGAUAUUGGGAAGAACACAGGUGGCGAUGGCGGCUCUCUGGUCCACACCUGACGCUGAGGCGCGAAAGCGUGGGGAGCAAACAGG